UGCACUCACUACUGUAAGUCGCUCUGGAUAAGAGCGCAUAUGCUAAAUGGCUACAA
rfam:Salmo salar isolate Sally breed double haploid chromosome ssa28, whole genome shotgun sequence.